rnacentral:rRNA from 1 species
ACGCUGGCGGCACGCCUAACACAUGCAAGUCGAACGAAGUAGCAAUACUUAGUGGCAGACGGGUGAGUAACAUGUAGGUAUCUGCCCUUUGGCCUGGAAUAACACGAGGAAACUUGUGCUAAUACCGGAUAAGUCUUUACGGAGAAAGCUUUAUGCACCAUUGGAUGAGCCUGCACUUGAUUAGUUUGUUGGUGGGGUAAUGGCCUACCAAGACUGUGAUCAAUAGCUGAUUUGAGAGGAUGAUCAGCCACAUUGGGACUGAGACACGGCCCAAACUCCUACGGGAGGCAGCAGUGGGGAAUCUUGCACAAUGGAGGAAACUCUGAUGCAGCGAUGCCGCGUGAGUGAAGAAGGCCUUUGGGUUGUAAAGCUCUUUCGUCGGGGAAGAAAAUGACUGUACCCGAAUAAGAAGGUCCGGCUAACUUCGUGCCAGCAGCCGCGGUAAUACGAAGGGACCUAGCGUAGUUCGGAAUUACUGGGCUUAAAGAGUUCGUAGGUGGUUGAAAAAGUUGGUGGUGAAAUCCCAGAGCUUAACUCUGGAACUGCCAUCAAAACUUUUCAGCUAGAGUAUGAUAGAGGAAAGCAGAAUUUCUAGUGUAGAGGUGAAAUUCGUAGAUAUUAGAAAGAAUACCAAUUGCGAAGGCAGCUUUCUGGAUCAUUACUGACACUGAGGAACGAAAGCAUGGGUAGCGAAGAGGAUUAGAUACCCUCGUAGUCCAUGCCGUAAACGAUGUGUGUUAGACGUUGGAAAUUUAUUUUCAGUGUCGCAGCGAAAGCGAUAAACACACCGCCUGGGGAGUACGACCGCAAGGUUAAAACUCAAAUGAAUUGACGGGGACCCGCACAAGUAGUGGAGCAUGUGGUUUAAUUCGAAGAUACGCGCAGAACCUUACCAACACUUGACAUGUUCGUCGCGACUCUAAGAGAUUAGAGUUUUCGGUUCGGCCGGACGAAACACAGGUGCUGCAUGGCUGUCGUCAGCUCGUGUCGUGAGAUGUUGGGUUAAGUCCCGCAACGAGCGCAACCCUCACUUUUAGUUGCCAUCAUUAAGUUGGGCACUCUGAAAGAACUGCCAGUGAUAAGCUGGAGGAAGGUGGGGAUGACGUCAAGUCCUCAUGGCCCUUACGUGUUGGGCUACACACGUGCUACAAUGGUAUCUACAACAGGAAGCAAGACUGCGAAGUUAAGCAAAUCCCUAAAAGAUACCUCAGUUCGGAUUGCACUCUGCAACUCGAGUGCAUGAAGCUGGAAUUACUAGUAAUCGUGGAUCAGCGUGCCACGGUGAAUGCGUUCCCGGGUCUUGUACACACCGCCCGUCA